GGCCCACCAAAAUAAUAUUCCUGUGGUAUUAUACGAGCUGCCUCUUAGUCGUGGCCUCUUCUCCUUGGAAACGAACAAAUUCAAAUAUUCUAAAAUCCAAAUACCUAACGAUUCUCAUUUUUUCCAUGUUUUGGUUACGGCUGCUUUCAAAUUUAGACCAAAGAGGAGACUUAUUCUAAGUUAACAAUCAUCAUACAUAUAAUUAUUGCUCGG
rnacentral:lncRNA from 1 species